CGCCUAACCCUUGUGGGCUAAACCUCCGAGGUAUGGCAUCAAAAUCCUCCGCAACAUAGAUGGUCGCCUGACCAUACUUCUGUUGCGGAGGUCUAUCCCGAAAGGGAUAGGGUGUUCCUUUGGGAUACC
rnacentral:sRNA from 12 species